rnacentral:rRNA from 1 species
AAUGGGGGCAACCCUGAUCCAGCGAUGCCGCGUGAGUGAUGAAGGCCUUCGGGUUGUAAAACUCUUUCGUCGGGGAAGAUAAUGACGGUACCUGAAGAAGAAGAUCCGGCUAACUCCGUGCCAGCAGCCGCGGUAAUACGGAGGGAUCUAGCGUUAUUCGGAAUUACUGGGCGUAAAGCGAGCGUAGGCGGAUUUGUAAGUUGGAGGUGAAAUCCCAGAGCUUAACUCUGGAACUGCCUUCAAAACUACAUUUCUUGAGUUUGGUAGAGGAGAGUGGAAUUCCUAGUGUAGAGGUGAGAUUCGUAGAUAUUAGGAGGAACACCAGUGGCGAAGGCGACUCUCUGGGCCAAUACUGACGCUGAGGUUCGAAAGCAUGGGUAGCGAACAGGAUU